AAGCCGGUGAUGAUUGACCUUCUCACAGGACGUGGUACACUGUCCCUGAGCCCGCUCUAACUCGCCAGGUGCAGAGCUUCAGCCAGCAGCAGAAGCAGAGCAGUGGGCAGUGGUGGAGGUAGAGCUGGCUCCAGCUCCGUUGACACCACCCUCUCUAGCACUGGAGCCAGUGUCCCCUCCAUCAGCAGUGUUGGAGCUGGAGCAAGGGCCGACAUCGGCUGCAGCAGGAGUGGGAGCUGCUGAGCUGGAGUCACCUGGACCAUCAUUUCUAGUGGGAAGUCCAUCUCCACCUGUGGCUAAGAAGCAUGAGAAGAAGCCCAACCUACGGCCUUCCCUCCUAAGCUGGUGGUGGAGCAGUUGACCGUGAUGGAUGCGAGGGUAGAGGUGGACACUAACAGGACCUGCUGCACAGAGUGGUUGUGCCGGCUCCAUGAGGU